rnacentral:sRNA from 1 species
GGAACCACGGGCUCGUUUCUAUGCUGCUGAAAUAGCCAGUGCCUUGGGCUACCUGCAUUCACUGAACAUCGUUUAUAGAGACUUAAAACCAGAGAAUAUUUUGCUAGAUUCACAGGGACACAUUGUCCUUACUGACUUCGGACUCUGCAAGGAGAACAUUGAACACAACAGCACGACAUCCACCUUCUGUGGCACGCCGGAGUAUCUCGCACCUGAGGUGCUUCAUAAGCAGCCUUAUGACAGGACCGUGGACUGGUGGUGCCUGGGAGCCGUCUUGUAUGAGAUGCUGUAUGGCUUGGUGAGUGGCACGUUGGGAACCAUGGAACACUGCCUGCUCCCUACAAUAUUGUCUUCACACAGCCCAUGCUUGGCCAUUGUGUCUUGCCCUUAUCAUUACGCUUAUCGAAAGCAGCUAAGAGGCAUAUUGGUUAUUUUAUAUUUCAUAAGAAUAAUCACUUACCUAGUUCUUUUGUGCAUUUCACAUUUUACUAGAUAGGACCACAUUUAACCUGUGUGGUGGUGAAAAACUACCACUUAUUAACAUCUACCCCCUCACCCUCCACACAUACACACACACA